GGGCCCAUGGUUCAGUGGUAGAACACGGCAUUCGCAUUGCCGGGACGCGAGUUCGAUUCUCGCUGGGUCCA
rfam:Candidatus Taylorbacteria bacterium RIFCSPLOWO2_02_FTLL_46_40 rifcsplowo2_02_scaffold_7630, whole genome shotgun sequence.